GCGAGUAUGGCCCUCACGGGUCUAUCCACUAUAAAACACAUUUGUGAACCAUUCAGGGCGGUUGAGCGGUGAAAGCUUAGGCGAUUAGCAGCGAGGCCUCCCCUUGUAAAACACGUUUUGAAGUCUUGAAAGUCUAGUUGAAUAAUUAAUAA
rnacentral:misc_RNA from 1 species